UUUUCCCAGAGAGCAGUCCUUUACUACUCCAAUGCCAUUCAUUUCUCUUCCUGGAAUCAGCAACAAUGAGUCUGGUAAGACAACAAUAGCUAGAAUUGUAAAAUGUAAUCAACUACUUAUCAGUAUUAACAUCGUUUCUCGGAAUAUUAGGUAGGGCCGCAGAACUGAACAACUUGGUCGCAUUUACAUAUUGAUAACUAUCUCAUCUAAUCCAUUAACAAACAAGAUGCACAAAUCUUGAUCAAUUAGCUAUCAGCAGCCCUGAAGACAGCGAGCAGCGAGAGGAAGAGAUUAAUAACAUCCAGAUAGAGAGAGACAGCAGCCCAUAUGUAUUCGUCAUAUGUGUGACGCUUGAUUAAGUUGUCGGUGUCGUAUAUAAUGUAUCCACAGAAUAUGAUUGAAGCCAGACACCCAUAGAUCAUGACAGAGAUUCUGCCCAAUGGAAAGAGAAUCUGGAUUAAAGCAAACACCAUAAGAACAAGGACAGCACCAAACAAAAAGGGACCAAGAAAGUUGAAAUCAUGGCCUCUCCUUGCCGCCCAGAAUGUGUACAGAGUUAGACUCAAGACCACUACAGUUGUCAAAAUCACUGAUUCCAGAAUAACCUUCCCGCUGGUGAACGCACAAGUUAAUCCAACGGCAAAAGAAAGAGAAAUGGUAAAAAUCCCAAGAAGAAGGUAAUUCACCGGAUGCUUCUGGUGGUAGUAAUACAAGGGGCAUAGAACAAUAAAGGGCAUAAUAAUGAGGACUAUAUAAAGUGCAAGCCCAGCCCCAGUACUAACAAAGAAAUUCGCAAUCGGAUGGACAGAAACCACGACGGACGCCACCGCAAUUGUCGCCAGCAACUGAAAAGAUAGGAUUGAAUAGACUUUCCUUAUGAAGGCCCAUCGGAGCUCCGGUCUCUCCAGCAUCAUCGGAUAGAGAGGUCUGGCGCCGGCCUCCACAUCACUCUUUCGGUACGGUUGGCCCCACAUCUUGCUUACUUGCGAAGAAACACCGAAAGGAAUCUCAAGACUUUGAUGUGUUCUUAAGAGUGAUGGGAAAAUGAGGGAAUGGCUAGGGUUUUGAUUAGGGUUCGGGGAUGAAGGAGGCUAACGGAAGUUAAGCGGUUUCGAUUCAACGAGUAAGCAUUGAAGAUGCGUCGCGAAUAUAUAGCGAGAGGAAAGGAUGUUAAGCGAAGUGUGGAAGGUUCGGUAGGCGCAAAGUAGAUAAUCGGAAAACGUGGAGCGGGGAGGUUUUUUUGGCUUAGCUGUUAAGAGUGUCAAGCAAAGUUAAUUGAGGUUUAAU
rnacentral:misc_RNA from 1 species